AGCAGCCGCGGUAAUUCCAGCUCCAAUAGCGUAUAUUAAAGUUGUUGCAGUUAAAAAGCUCGUAGUUGAAUUUCGGGAUUAAUAUGUUGGUCGUGCCUUGGUACGUACUAAUUUAUUGGUUUCUUCCUUCUGACGAACCAUGAUGUCAUUAAUUUGGUGUCUUGGGGAAUCAGGACUGUUACUUUGAAAAAAUUAGAGUGUUUAAAGCGGGCUCACGCUUGAAUACAUUAGCAUGGAAUAAUGAAAUAGGAUGUUUGAUUCUAUUUUGUUGGUUUCUAGGAUCGACGUAAUGAUUAAUAGGGAUAGUUGGGGGUAUUAGUAUUCAAUUGUCAGAGGUGAAAUUCUUGGAUUUAUUGAAGACUAACUACUGCGAAAGCAAUUUGCCAAGGAUGUUUCAUUAAUCAAGAACGAAAGUUAGGGGAAUCGAAGACGAUCAGAUACCGUCGUAGUCUUAACCAUAAACUAUGCCGACUAGGGAUCGGAUGAUGUAAUUUUUAAUGACUCAUUCGGCGCUUACGGG
rnacentral:rRNA from 1 species